AACGAUCAGGAUUAGUUUGGCUUCCACUCCUUGAGCCUUCUGCUCAAAGCAACCACCGCUGGCUCAGCUCACUCCGGUGGCCUCCGGCCGCCUCUGCCUCCGAGGAUUCGCUUGGGGGGAGACGUAUUAUGAGGUUCGCGGGGUGGUACCUGAAGAUUGCGGCGGUGGGGCCUCCAUUGGCGCUGCCAUGGAGCUCUUCAUGAUCCACACGGGCUUUUAUGAGAAGGUAACUGUCCUGGGGUCAGAAAAACGAGCUUGGGAAAGCAGUCUAGAGGCCCAAGCUAUGAGAGAAGCUCUCAAUCCAUGGCAAAAGCAUGAUGAACAAGAACAACAGAAGAAAUAGUCAAGAGUUAUGUGUCUUAAGUGUCUGCGUUCCCAUCCGUAUACCCUUGAAUCAGCUUCCAGAACACGUUGAAGGGCUAUCGAAGACAGUUAUAAACUGCUUUUUUCAUGGGAUGCAAAAAAAAGAGGGGACAUUGUACACUAUCACACUGGGUUUCACUUGUUUUUAUGAUAUUUUAACAUUAGAACAUCAGAUUUUGGGUAUAGAAAUGGGUGAAAGUUGUCUGCUUCUCUGUACAAUAAUUGAAUGCUCUAUGGAUUGCUCAUGUAAUCCUUUUCAGUUAUGAUAUUUUUUUAAACAUCAUUUGUUGGAACAAAA